UACGUAGGGGGCAAGCGUUGUCCGGAUUUAUUGGGCGUAAAGAGCGUGUAGGCGGUUCGGUAGGUCCGUUGUGAAAACUCGAGGCUCAACCUCGAGACGCCGAUGGAAACCCUCGAACUAGAGUCCGGAAGAGGAGAAUGGAAUUCCUGGUGUAGCGGUGAAAUGCGCAGAUAUCAGGAAGAACACCCGUGGCUAAGGCGGUUCUCUAGUACGGUACUGACGCUGAGACGCGAAAGCGUGGGGAGCAAACAGG
rnacentral:rRNA from 1 species